rnacentral:sRNA from 12 species
AUAUUAGAUUUAUUAUAUAUUAAUAUAAAGCAGGAUAAAGUUCUAAGGAACGACUCCGUAGCGCUAAAUCGUAUACGAUCCUUUUCGAGACCUCGCAGAAAAUUUCGUAAGAAAGAUUAACAGCAUUUUAAAAUGGGGUUACUUUGUUUAUGAUU